GACGAGGCACUACGGUGCUGAAGCAACAAAUGCCCUGCUUCCAGGAAAAGCCUCUAAGCAUCAGGUAACAUCAAAUCGUACCCCAAACCGACACAGGUGGUCAGGUAGAGAAUACCAAGGCGCUUGAGAGAACUCGGGUGAAGGAACUAGGCAAAAUGGUGCCGUAACUUCGGGAGAAGGCACGCUGACACGUAGGUGAAGUGAUUUACUCAUGGAGCUGAAGUCAGUCGAAGAUACCAGCUGGCUGCAACUGUUUAUUAAAAACACAGCACUGUGCAAACACGAAAGUGGACGUAUACGGUGUGACGCCUGCCCGGUGCCGGAAGGUUAAUUGAUGGGGUCAGCGCAAGCGAAGCUCCUGAUCGAAGCCCCGGUAAACGGCGGCCGUAACUAUAACGGUCCUAAGGUAGCGAAAUUCCUUGUCGGGUAAGUUCCGACCUGCACGAAUGGCGUAAUGAUGGCCAGGCUGUCUCCACCCGAGACUCAGUGAAAUUGAACUCGCUGUGAAGAUGCAGUGUACCCGCGGCAAGACGGAAAGACCCCGUGAACCUUUACUAUAGCUUGACACUGAACAUUGAGCCUUGAUGUGUAGGAUAGGUGGGAGGCUUUGAAGCGUGGACGCCAGUCUGCGUGGAGCCGACCUUGAAAUACCACCCUUUAAUGUUUGAUGUUCUAACGUGGACCCGUAAUCCGGGUUGCGGACAGUGUCUGGUGGGUAGUUUGACUGGGGCGGUCUCCUCCUAAAGAGUAACGGAGGAGCACGAAGGUUGGCUAAUCCUGGUCGGACAUCAGGAGGUUAGUGCAAUGGCAUAAGCCAGCUUGACUGCGAGCGUGACGGCGCGAGCAGGUGCGAAAGCAGGUCAUAGUGAUCCGGUGGUUCUGAAUGGAAGGGCCAUCGCUCAACGGAUAAAAGGUACUCCGGGGAUAACAGGCUGAUACCGCCCAAGAGUUCAUAUCGACGGCGGUGUUUGGCACCUCGAUGUCGGCUCAUCACAUCCUGGGGCUGAAGUAGGUCCCAAGGGUAUGGCUGUUCGCCAUUUAAAGUGGUACGCGAGCUGGGUUUAGAACGUCGUGAGACAGUUCGGUCCCUAUCUGCCGUGGGCGCUGGAGAACUGAGGGGGGCUGCUCCUAGUACGAGAGGACCGGAGUGGACGCAUCACUGGUGUUCGGGUUGUCAUGCCAAUGGCACUGCCCGGUAGCUAAAUGCGGAAGAGAUAAGUGCUGAAAGCAUCUAAGCACGAAACUUGCCCCGAGAUGAGUUCUCCCUGAGACUUAGAGUCUCCUGAAGGAACGUUGAAGACGACGACGUUGAUAGGCCGGGUGUGUAAGCGCAGCGAUGCGUUGAGCUAACCGGUACUAAUGAACCGUGAGGCUUAACCUU
rnacentral:rRNA from 1 species